AGGGUUCGUGACCUCCGACCCGGGGUCACUCACCGGCCUCGCUCUGGUUGUAGUAGCCGCGCAGGGUCCUCAGGUUCACUCGGAAAAUCUGCUCAUGGCCCUUGGCGAUCUGUGUCUCCUCCUCCCAAUACUCCGGCCCCUCCUGCUCCAUCCACCCCGUGCGCGGCUCGUAUCUCGGAUUCUCCGCGUCGCUGUCGAAGCGCACGAACUGCGUGUCGUCCACGUAGCCGAC